UCCGGCGUAGCUCAACCGGUAGAGCAUCCGGCUGUUAACCGGAGGGUUGGGGGUUCGAGUCCCUCCGCCGGAG
rnacentral:tRNA from 1 species